AUUGAACGCUGGCGGCAGGCCUAACACAUGCAAGUCGAGCGGGGUUUUCGGACCUAGCGGCGGACGGGUGAGUAAUGCGUAGGAAGCUACCCGAUAGAGGGGGAUACCAGUUGGAAACGACUGUUAAUACCGCAUAAUGUCUACGGACCAAAGUGUGGGACCUUCGGGCCACAUGCUAUCGGAUGCGCCUACGUGGGAUUAGCUAGUUGGUGGGGUAAUGGCUCACCAAGGCGACGAUCCAUAGCUGGUUUGAGAGGAUGAUCAGCCACACUGGGACUGAGACACGGUCCAGACUCCUACAGGAGGCAGCAGUGGAGAAUAUUGGACAGUGGGCGCAAGCCUGAUCCAGCCAUGCCGCGUGUGUGAAGAAGGCCUUCGGGUUGUAAAGCACUUUCAGCGAGGAGGAAGGGGUGGGUGUUAAUAGUACUCAUCUUUGACGUUACUCGCAGAAGAAGCACCGGCUAACUCUGUGCCAGCCGCCGCAGUAAUAC
rnacentral:rRNA from 1 species